rnacentral:misc_RNA from 1 species
GAUGAAGAACGUAGCGAAAUGCGAUAAGUAAUGUGAAUUGCAGAAUUCAGUGAAUCAUCGAAUCUUUGAACGCACAUUGCGCCCGCCAGUAUUCUGGCGGGCAUGCCUGUUCGAGCGUCAUUUCAACCAUCAAGCCCCCCGGCUUGUGUUGGGGACCUGCGGCUGCCGCAGGCCCUGAAAAGCAGUGGCGGGCUCGCUGUCACACCGAGCGUAGUAGCAUACAUCUCGCUCUGGGCGUGCUGCGGGUUCCGGCCGUUAAACCACCUUCAUAACCCAAGGUUGACCUCGGAUCAGGUAGGAAGACCCGCUGAACUUAAGCAUAUCAAAGCGGAGGA